rnacentral:rRNA from 1 species
CAGCAGUAGCCGCGGGAACACGGAGGGAGCUAGCGUUGUUCGGAAUUACUGGGCGUAAAGCGCGCGUAGGCGGUUACUCAAGUCAGAGGUGAAAGCCCGGGGCUCAACCCCGGAACUGCCUUUGAAACUAGGUGACUAGAAUCUUGGAGAGGUCAGUGGAAUUCCGAGUGUAGAGGUGAAAUUCGUAGAUAUUCGGAAGAACACCAGUGGCGAAGGCGACUGACUGGACAAGUAUUGACGCUGAGGUGCGAAAGCGUGGGGAGCAAACAGGAUUAGAUACCCCGGUAGUCCCUGUCUCUUAUAC